rnacentral:pre_miRNA from 1 species
CUUGUACUCCCUCCGUCUGAAAAUACUUGUCAUUGAAAUGGAUGUAUCUAGAUAUAUUUUAGUUCUAGACACAUCCAUUUUGAUGACAAGUAAUUCCGGACGGAGGGAGUACUUG